rnacentral:rRNA from 1 species
UAGGGAAUCUUCGGCAAUGGACGAAAGUCUGACCGAGCAACGCCGCGUGAGUGAAGAAGGUUUUCGGAUCGUAAAACUCUGUUGUUAGAGAAGAACAAGGACGUUAGUAACUGAACGUCCCCUGACGGUAUCUAACCAGAAAGCCACGGCUAACUACGUGCCAGCAGCCGCGGUAAUACGUAGGUGGCAAGCGUUGUCCGGAUUUAUUGGGCGUAAAGCGAGCGCAGGCGGUUUCUUAAGUCUGAUGUGAAAGCCCCCGGCUCAACCGGGGAGGGUCAUUGGAAACUGGGGGACUUGAGUGCAGAAGAGGAGAGUGGAAUUCCAUGUGUAGCGGUGAAAUGCAUAGAUAUAUGGAGGAACACCAGUGGCGAAGGCGGCUCUCUGGACUGUAACUGACGCUGAGGCUCGAAAGCGUGGGGGGCAAACAGG